UGAUCAUGGCUCAGAUCUGAACGCUGGCGGCAGGCCUAACACAUGCAAGUCGAGCGGCAGCGACAUACACAAUCCUUCGGGUGCGUUUAUGGGCGGCGAGCGGCGGACGGGUGAGUAAUGCCUGGGAAUAUGCCCUGAUGUGGGGGAUAACCAUUGGAAACGAUGGCUAAUACCGCAUAAUCUCUUCGGAGCAAAGAGGGGGACCUUCGGGCCUCUCGCGUCAGGAUUAGCCCAGGUGAGAUUAGCUAGUUGGUGAGGUAAGAGCUCACCAAGGCGACGAUCUCUAGCUGGUCUGAGAGGAUGAUCAGCCACACUGGAACUGAGACACGGUCCAGACUCCUACGGGAGGCAGCAGUGGGGAAUAUUGCACAAUGGGGGAAACCCUGAUGCAGCCAUGCCGCGUGUGUGAAGAAGGCCUUCGGGUUGUAAAGCACUUUCAGUUGUGAGGAAGGCGUAUGCGUUAAUACGCGUAUGCUGCUUAUGACGUCUCAGCAACAGCAAGAAGCACCGGCUCAAGCUCCGUGCCAACAGCCGCGGGUAAC
rnacentral:rRNA from 1 species